rnacentral:rRNA from 1 species
GGUCAAGUGACUAAGUGCAUGUGGUGGAUGCCUUGGCGAUCACAGGCGAUGAAGGACGUCGUAGCGUGCGAAAAGCUUCGGGGAGCCCGCAAGCAGGCUUUGAUCCGGAGAUGUCCGAAUGGGGAAACCCGGCCCGCAGGGGUCACCUUGCCGAAUCCAUAGGCAAGGCGGGGCGAACCUGCUGAACUGAAACAUCUAAGUAGGCAGAGGAACAGAAAUCAACCGAGAUUCCGAGAGUAGUGGCGAGCGAAAUCGGACCAGCCUCUCACAUUUAGCCGUCGCGUUAGCAAAACGGUCUGGAAAGUCCGGCCAUAGCGGGUGACAGCCCCGUAUGCGAAAACAUGGCGGUGGAACUAGGGUGAGGACAAGUAGGGCGGGGCACGUGGAAUCCUGCCUGAAGAUGGGGGACCAUCCUCCAAGGCUAAAUACUCGUGAUCGACCGAUAGUGAACCAGUACCGUGAGGGAAAGGCGAAAAGAACCCCGGGAGGGGAGUGAAAUAGAACCUGAAACCGCAUGCAUACAAGCUGUAGGAGCCCGCAAGGGUGACUGCGUACCUUUUGUAUAAUGGGUCAGCGACUUACAUUCACUGGCGAGCUUAACCGUUAGGGUAGGCGCAGCGAAAGCGAGUCCGAACAGGGCGAUUCAGUCGGUGGGUGUAGACCCGAAAGCGGAUGAUCUACUCAUGGCCAGGUUGAAGGUCGGGUAACACCGGCUGGAGGACCGAACCAACUACUGUUGCAAAAGUAGUGGAUGAGCUGUGGGUAGGGGUGAAAGGCCAAACAAAUCCGCAAAUAGCUGGUUCUCUCCGAAAACUAUUGAGGUAGUGCCUCGCGUGAUCACUCCCGGGGGUAGAGCACUGUUAUGGCUAGGGGGACAUGGCGUCUUACCAAACCAUGGCAAACUCCGAAUACCGGGAAGUGCAGCGCGGGAGACAGUGCACCGGGUGCUAACGUCCGGACACGAGAGGGAAACAACCCAGACCCGCAGCUAAGGUCCCAAAUGAUUGGCUAAGUGGCGAACGAAGUGGGAAGGCGAAAACAGUCAGGAGGUUGGCUUAGAAGCAGCCAUCCUUUAAAGAAAGCGUAAUAGCUCACUGAUCGAGUCGUCCCGCGCGGAAGAUUCAACGGGGCUCAAGCCAAUAACCGAAGCUCGGGGUGUGAGCAAUCCACCUCAGCCCGUUUUGCGUCGCCGUCCAAGACGGUGCGCGCCAUUCCAGCAAGCUUGGACGAGGCUAACUUCGCGCGAACGCGCGAAGUUAAGCGGCGCAUCGCGCCGCGGCCGAGGCCAAAGCGCUCCCACGCACGAUCGAGUCGGGCGGCGGAAUGUGCGAGCGACGCAAAGCGGAUUGAGGGGAUUGCUCACGCGGUAGGAGAGCGUUCCGUAAGCCUGCGAAGGUGUCUGGCGAUGGACACUGGAGGUAUCGGAAGUGCGAAUGCUGACAUGAGUAGCGUUAAAGCGGGUGAAAAGCCCGCUCGCCGUAAGCCCAAGGUUUCCUGCGCAACGUUCAUCGGCGCAGGGUGAGUCGGCCCCUAAGGCGAGGCCGAAAGGCGUAGUCGAUGGGAAACAGGUCAAUAUUCCUGUACCAGUCGGGGAUGCGAUGGGGGGACGGAGAAGGUUAUGCCGGCCGGGUGUUGGACGUCCCGGUUCAAGCGUGUAGGGAGACCCCGUAGGCAAAUCCGCGGGGUCAAUCCUGAGGCGUGACGACCAGUCCGGUUCGCCGGGCGAAGUGGCAGAUACCCUGCUUCCAGGAAAAGCCUCUAGCUUCAGUCUCCGAUUGACCGUACCGUAAACCGACACUGGUGGGCGAGAUGAAAAUUCUCAGGCGCUUGAGAGAACUCUGGAGAAGGAACUCGGCAAAUUGACACCGUAACUUCGGGAGAAGGUGUGCCCCCGGUAGGUGAAGCUGCACAAGCGGAGCCGAAAGGGGGUCGCAGAGAAUCGGUGGCUGCGACUGUUUAUUAAAAACACAGCACUCUGCAAACACGAAAGUGGACGUAUAGGGUGUGACGCCUGCCCGGUGCCGGAAGGUUAAGUGAUGGGGUGCAAGCUCUUGAUCGAAGCCCCGGUAAACGGCGGCCGUAACUAUAACGGUCCUAAGGUUAACAACCGCUAGCCUUGGUUAAACCGAACCAUAUGCGGGAAACUCCUCAAAAACCGCUCGGUACUCGCUUCGAAGGCCUCGUCCGGGAUCUGUGAGACGCCCGGCCGCGCCGAAGCAGUAAAAAUCCGACGGACACGGGGACGAUCCGCAGGAAAGACUCGCCGGCCACGGCGAGAAUCCUCAGAGACUUGACGUUCGGGAGCGUUCCUUCAUGCAUCUUGACGUACAGUGGAUCGUCGGCUUCGUCGACGGCGAAGGUUGCUUCCAUGUGGGCAUCAACCCGCAUCCGGAAAUGACCGCGGGAUUCCAGGUACUGCCGGAAUUCACCGUCGUCCAGCACCAGCGCGACGUUUCGGUUCUGCACGCCCUGAAGAGCCAUUUCGGCUGCGGCGUGGUUCUGCAAGAACCACGCGGACCGGAUGGCCUACCGGGUGGCGGGCUGGAUCAUCUGCGCGACCGAAUCGUUCCAUUCUUCGUCAAGCACCCGUUGAAGACGAGCAAGAACGUGGACUUUCACAAGUUCCGCGACGUCGUGCUCUUGAUGGGUGAGCGGGUUCAUCUGACGAGCGAGGGCAUCGGAGAGAUCCGGCGCAUCGCCGCAACGAUGAACCGUGGACGCUCAAGGUAAAGUCCAGCUUGGCCGGAAACGGCCGGGACGAACUGAGCGAAAUUCCUUGUCGGGUAAGUUCCGACCUGCACGAAUGGCGUAACGAUGGCCACACUGUCUCCUCCAGAGACUCAGCGAAGUUGAAGUGGUUGUGAUGAUGCAAUCUACCCGCGGCUAGACGGAAAGACCCCGUGCACCUUUACUGUAGCUUUGCAUGGGACUGUGAACCGAUCUGUGUAGGAUAGCUGGGAGGCUUUGAAGCCGGGGCGCUAGCUUCGGUGGAGCCAACGUUGAAAUACCAGCCUGGUUUGUUUGCGGUUCUAACCUGCGCUCGUGAAUCCGGGCGGGGGACAGUGCAUGGUAGGCAGUUUGACUGGGGCGGUCUCCUCCCAAAGCGUAACGGAGGAGCUCGAAGGUACGCUUCGCGCGGUCGGAAAUCGCGCUGAAAGUGCAAUGGCAAAAGCGUGCUUGACUGCGAGACUGACAAGUCGAGCAGGUGCGAAAGCAGGACAUAGUGAUCCGGUGGUUCUGUAUGGAAGGGCCAUCGCUCAACGGAUAAAAGGUACGCCGGGGAUAACAGGCUGAUCUCCCCCAAGAGUUCAUAUCGACGGGGAGGUUUGGCACCUCGAUGUCGGCUCAUCUCAUCCUGGGGCUGUAGCCGGUCCCAAGGGUAUGGCUGUUCGCCAUUUAAAGAGGUACGUGAGCUGGGUUUAGAACGUCGUGAGACAGUUUGGUCCCUAUCUACCGUGGGCGUUGGACGUUUGAGAGGGGCUGCUCCUAGUACGAGAGGACCGGAGUGGACGCACCUCUGGUGUACCGGUUGUGACGCCAGUCGCAUCGCCGGGUAGCUAUGUGCGGAAGAGAUAACCGCUGAAAGCAUCUAAGCGGGAAACUCGCCUCAAGAUGAGACGUCCCGGGGCUCGAUCCCCCUGAAGGGUCGUGAAAGACCAUCACGUUGAUAGGCCGGAUGUGGAAGCGCUGCAAGGCGUUGAGCUAACCGGUACUAAUUGCCCGUGCGGCUUGACCCU